rnacentral:rRNA from 1 species
GAUGAACGCUGGCGGCGUGCCUAACACAUGCAAGUCGAACGGAGAUUACGGACGGAAGUUUUCGGAUGGAAGCCUGUAAUUCUUAGUGGCGGACGGGUGAGUAACGCGUGGGCAACCUGCCCUAUACAGGGGGAUAGCAGCUGGAAACGGCUGGUAAGACCGCAUAAGUCGGUUAAAUCGCAUGAUUUGAUCGGGAAAUGAGCAAUCAGGUAUAGGAUGGGCCCGCGUCCGAUUAGCCAGUUGGCAGGGUAAAAGCCUACCAAAGCGACGAUCGGUAGCCGGACUGAGAGGUCGGACGGCCACAUUGGGACUGAGGCACGGCCCAAACUCCUACGGGAGGCAGCAGUGGGGGAUAUUGCACAAUGGAGGAAACUCUGAUGCAGCGACGCCGCGUGAGUGAAGAAGUAUUGCGGUAUGUAAAGCUCUAUCAGCAGGGAAGAUGAUGACGGUACCUGACUAAGAAGCCCCGGCUAACUACGUGC